rnacentral:rRNA from 1 species
UACGGGGGGGGGCAAGCGUUGUUCGGAAUUACUGGGCGUAAAGGGCUCGUAGGCGGCCAACUAAGUCAGACGUGAAAUCCCUCGGCUUAACCGGGGAACUGCGUCUGAUACUGGAUGGCUUGAAUCCGGGAGAGGGAUGCGGAAUUCCAGGUGUAGCGGUGAAAUGCGUAGAUAUCUGGAGGAACACCGGUGGCGAAGGCGGCAUCCUGGACCAACACUGACACUGGAGGAGCGAAAGCCAGGGGAGCAAACGGG